UACGGAGGGUGCAAACGUUGCUCGGAAUCAUUGGGCGUAAAGCGCACGUAGGCGGCUCACUAAGUCGGAUGUGAAAGCCCCGGGCUCAACCCGGGAAGUGCACUCGAAACUGGCGAGCUUGAGUAUGGAAGAGGGUCUCGGAAUUCCCGGUGUAGAGGUGAAAUUCGUAGAUAUCGGGAGGAACACCAGUGGCGAAGGCGGAGACCUGGGCCAAUACUGACGCUGAGGUGCGAAAGCGUGGGGAGCAAACAGG
rnacentral:rRNA from 1 species